rnacentral:hammerhead_ribozyme from 1 species
AUCCAGCUGACAAGUCCCGAAUAGGACGAAACGCACAUCUUGGAU